GCACACUGCUUGUAACCCGUUGGCCUUGCCAUGGCUAGUGGGUUCCUUUCCAGUGCCACAGCAUUUCCAGUGCCACACACAUGACCCACUGGCUGGAGGCUUUUAGUAUCGGGCCUUGGAGACAUGC
ensembl:snoRNA